rnacentral:rRNA from 1 species
AUUGAACGCUGGCGGCAGGCCUAACACAUGCAAGUCGAACGAGUGGCGGACGGGUGAGUAAUGUCUGGGAAACUGCCUGAUGGAGGGGGAUAACUACUGGAAACGGUAGCUAAUACCGCUUACCAUCAGAUGUGCCCAGAUGGGAUUAUCUAGUUGGUGGGGUAACGGGUCACCAAGGCGACGAUCCCUAGCUGGUCUGAGAGGAUGACCAGCCAAACUGGAACUGAGAAACGGGCCAGAAUCCUACGGGAGGGAGCAGUGGGGAAGAUUGCGCAAUGGGCGCAAGCCUGAUGCAGGCAUGGCGGGGGGAGGAAGAAGGCCUUCGGGUUGGAAAGUACCUUCAGCGGGGAGGCGGUACCCGCAGAAGAAGGACCGGCUAAAUCAGUGCCAGCAGCCGCGGUAAUUC